rnacentral:rRNA from 1 species
UACGGGAGGCAGCAGUGGGGAAUAUUGGACAAUGGGCGCAAGCCUGAUCCAGCCAUGCCGCGUGAGUGAUGAAGGCCCUAGGGUUGUAAAGCUCUUUCACCGGUGAAGAUAAUGACGGUAACCGGAGAAAAAGCCCCGGCUAACUUCGUGCCAGCAGCCGCGGUAA